UUUAUGGAGAGUUUGAUCCUGGCUCAGGAUGAACGCUGGCGGCGUGCCUAAUACAUGCAAGUCGAGCGAACGGAUGAGAAGCUUGCUUCUCUGAUGUUAGCGGCGGACGGGUGAGUAACACGUGGAUAACCUACCUAUAAGACUGGGAUAACUUCGGGAAACCGAAGCUAAUACCGGAUAAUAUUUUGAACCGCAUGGUUCAAAAGUGAAAGACGGUCUUGCUGUCACUUAUAGAUGGAUCCGCGCUGCAUUAGCUAGUUGGUAAGGUAACGGCUUACCAAGGCAACGAUGCAUAGCCGACCUGAGAGGGUGAUCGGCCACACUGGAACUGAGACACGGUCCAGACUCCUACGGGAGGCAGCAGUAGGGAAUCUUCCGCAAUAGGCGAAAGCCUGACGGAGCAACGCCGCGUGAGUGAUGAAGGUCUUCGGAUCGUAAAACUCUGUUAUUAGGGAAGAACAUAUGUGUAAGUAACUGUGCACAUCUUGACGGUACCUAAUCAGAAAGCCACGGCUAACUACGUGCCAGCAGCCGCGGUAAUACGUAGGUGGCAAGCGUUAUCCGGAAUUAUUGGGCGUAAAGCGCGCGUAGGCGGUUUUUUAAGUCUGAUGUGAAAGCCCACGGCUCAACCGUGGAGGGUCAUUGGAAACUGGAAAACUUGAGUGCAGAAGAGGAAAGUGGAAUUCCAUGUGUAGCGGUGAAAUGCGCAGAGAUAUGGAGGAACACCAGUGGCGAAGGCGACUUUCUGGUCUGUAACUGACGCUGAUGUGCGAAAGCGUGGGGAUCAAACAGGAUUAGAUACCCUGGUAGUCCACGCCGUAAACGAUGAGUGCUAAGUGUUAGGGGGUUUCCGCCCCUUAGUGCUGCAGCUAACGCAUUAAGCACUCCGCCUGGGGAGUACGACCGCAAGGUUGAAACUCAAAGGAAUUGACGGGGACCCGCACAAGCGGUGGAGCAUGUGGUUUAAUUCGAAGCAACGCGAAGAACCUUACCAAAUCUUGACAUCCUU
rnacentral:rRNA from 1 species